UACGUAGGGUGCAAGCGUUGUCCGGAAUUAUUGGGCGUAAAGAGCUCGUAGGUGGCCUGUCGCGUCGGCUGUGAAAACUCGGGGCUCAACUCCGAGCUUGCAGUCGAUACGGGCAGGCUAGAGUUCGGCAGGGGAGACUGGAAUUCCUGGUGUAGCGGUGAAAUGCGCAGAUAUCAGGAGGAACACCAGUGGCGAAGGCGGUGGUCUGGGCCGGAACUGACGCUGUAGAGCGAAAGCGUGGGGAGCGAACAGG
rnacentral:rRNA from 1 species